rnacentral:rRNA from 1 species
GACGAACCGAGCGAACGUUGUUCGGAAUUACUGGGCGUAAAGCGUGCGCAGGCGGUCUGCUAAGAGAGAUGUGAAAUCCCCGGGCUUAACCUGGGAACUGCGUUUCUAACUGGCAGGCUUGAGUGUGGCAGAGGGGGGUGGAAUUCCACGUGUAGCAGUGAAAUGCGUAGAGAUGUGGAGGAACACCGAUGGCGAAGGCAGCCCCCUGGGCUAACACUGACGCUCAUGCACGAAAGCGUGGGGAGCAAACAGG